GUGGAUUAGAUACCCUGGUAGUCCUGGCCCUAAACGGUGCGCGUUUGCUGUAAGUGGAUUCGACCCCACUUGUGGCGUAGUUAACACGUUAAACGCGCCGCCUGGGAAGUACGGCCGCAAGGUUAAAACUCAAAGAAAUUGACGGGGGCCUGCACAAGCGGUGGAGUAUGUGGCUUAAUUCGAUGCAACGCGAAGAACCUUACCUGGCCUUGACAUGCAUAUAGUAGAAAGGUGAAAGCCUGACGAGGUAGCAAUACCA
rnacentral:rRNA from 1 species